UCCCGCUCCAUCAUUCAACCCCCAGCCACACACUAAAACACAUGGCACAUUCCUCUCUCAGGCACAAGCCCUCCUGAGGCAGUCUCUCUCUCCCGCAGCUUCAGUCUGUUUACUCUGAGAGGUUAUCUGCUGUAAACAGAGUCAUUAUGAUCUUCAUGGGCACAGCAGAAUAACCGGUCGAAGUAGUCAUCAGUAGAGAAAAACGAGCUUCUUGCUCAACGUCGGAGAUCAUUUUAGGUUCUAACCAGCACACAGCAUUCAGAUGCUCCUCUGCAUUUCCUCCUUUUUGCUGUUUGAUUUAUCUGCUUGCACUCAGUGGCUUAAAGCAUUUGUAAAAGCUCUGUCUUUUUGAAGACUAAGCACUGACAGACUGAGCCCAGAGACUGACUGACUCAGAGAAGACGUGUUUAAUCUUUCACGUCAUUUGCGCAAACUGUUUUUAAAUCUAAUUCUGCUGUUGGCUCAAGCAUUUAUUGCAAAAAAGCAACAAAAAAAAAGGAAAAGCUGGAUUUGUUUCAAGAUUGUAGAAUGUAUAUAGUGGGGAUCCCUGGCUCGUUCUUUGGAUGCAUGUCCCUUUGGGUAACGGAGGAAGCAUAAGGCAUUAAUAUAGUGAUUAACUGUGGAAAAAGUUCUGCACUGCACUAACAAAAGAGCACACUGACGUUCUGCACUGACUGUUUUGAGUUUUACUGCCACUGCUGCACUCAGUCCUACUUUCAAUUUAAUGUUCAUGUUAUUGUAAAUGCACAGUAAUGUAAUGUAUACUAUCCAUGUUAUGCACUAGUAUGUAAACUGGAAAAAGGAGAAUGGUUUAGAUGUUGCCAUUUUGGUUGUUGAAUGUAGAUAAUGUCCUGAACUAGCAAUACUUUCGCCUACCUACUAUAGCUGGACUGCUGUAAUAUCUGUCUUGCACUAUUUUAAUGUUUGUAUGACCUCUACUGCCUGUCUCGACACUAUACUGUGCAAAUUGCUGGUCUAAAUACUGUAUUUUUAAUAACCAAAAUGAUUUUUUUUAUUUAUUUGUAUGUUUGUCCUUUUUCUUUUCAGUUUUACUUUUGAUAUUAAAAGAAACUUCUCCCA